GACGAACGCUGGCGGCGUGCCUAAUACAUGCAAGUUGAGCGCUGAAGUUUGGUACUUGUACCAACUGGAUGAGCAGCGGACGGGUGAGUAACGCGUGGGGAAUCUGCCUUUGAGCGGGGGACAACAUUUGGAAACGAAUGCUAAUACCGCAUAAAAACUUUAAACACAAGUUUUAAGUUUGAAAGAUGCAAUUGCAUCACUCAAAGAUGAUCCCGCGUUGUAUUAGCUAGUUGGUGAGGUAAAGGCCCUCCAAGGCGAUGGUACCUAGCCGAACUGAGAGGGUGAACGGCCAAAUUGGGAAUGAGACCAGGCCCAAACUCCUAAGGGAGGCAGCAGUAGGGAAUCUUUCGCAAUGGACGGAAGUCUGAACGAGCAACGCCGCGUGAGUGAAGAAGGGUUUCGGAUCGUAAAACUCCGUUGGUAGAGAAGAACGUUGGUGAGAGUGGAAAGCUCAUCAAGUGACGGUAACUAAUCAGAAAGCGACGGCUAACUACGUG
rnacentral:rRNA from 1 species